AACAGUCGGAUUGAGGAUCUUCUUUCAUAGCUAAUUUCUCAAAGGUCUGAUUCGAUGGUUGGGUUGAUAUUCUCUUUAUUACUUCUGUCCUCUCAAUUGUCUAGUAGUUCUCUUCCCCAUAGGAUAGCCUACUUUACAUGUAUGUUGUUCAUGCUGGUAAUUGAAAUUUCUGGGGGGCGCCAAAGGAUGAAUAUUGGAUUAAAAUUCUCACGACGGUCGUCUGAGGCACCCUUUCAGGUGUCCUUGUUGAUGCAAUAAUCCAAGUUUUCUGAUGCUCUCUGUUGCUUUUUCUGUCCAAAAUGUCUAGCUUUCUCUUUUCGUUCAAAAAAAGAGAUUUGCUGUUUUUGCCUCUUAUUUAAUGGUCUAGUAGCAGUAGUUUGUUCUUCCGAUUGGGGCAAGCAUAAUGAUGAUGAAUUUAUACUAAUUAUUCCGACUAAAUUCAUGAAAAGGAAUACUAAACCUCCUACUCAUUCUGAAUGCUUGCUUUUCCAAUCACCCAUCUUCAUACUAUUUUUCAACCUUUUCUUUUAUUUUGAUUUGAUUAUAUCUUUUUUUUUUCCUCUUUUUUGAUGAUCAUUACUGGGCUGAUAGGCUACGUUGGAGCCUGGAACAGAAGCUAACGAGGAUCUCCUUAAUAAGAGAACUAACAAAUUUUGAAAAUUUCACCGAGUACUGGAAACUCUAGGUUGGCACCAUGAGGAUUAGUUUUGGAUUGAGAUCGAAAGAUCUUUGAUAUUUCCCAGAUUUUUAUCUAUCUAGUCCUUUUCAUUCUGAGUGCUGAUGUGGGGUUUACAGAUCACUCCUUUGGUUUUUUUUUUUUUUCCAAAUAAAAUAAAAAAUAAAAAUAAUAACAGGUUAAAACAUGGUACUGGCUGGUAAGUUGCAAAUAAUUGAAUGGGAAACCUGGUUGAGAUAAAUUGAGUUUAGGGGUCAAAUGUGUUACGGGGCUGGAGUUUGGCUCUUUGGCUGCAUAUAUUCUAUGCCUUAGGGAUGAAUGCAGCUCCCAACAUCACUGCAUUCCUUCGGUUGAAUUCAGAGGCUUCCAAUGACUCUGAUAAAAAGCGUAUGAUUAAGUUUUUACUGAAAGAUUCGGAUUUGUUUGCCAUACAAGUUGAAGAAGAGGGAGAAAUGCAAGGACGAGGACAUCGAAUUUGCAAGCUGGUGAAAUUGUCAGUGCAUGAUGCAUCUGUUUCAACUGAAACCUUUCCCACAUAACAUAAUUUGGUACUAGGAGAAUCAAUGGUGGCAAAUGCAGAGAGAAAGAGCUGCAACUCCCCUCAGAAAAGGUUAACAUACUAAAAAGAAUUUAAGAUUAUAGUUAGAACUGGUUCACUGCAAAAUUGUGCAUCGUAGAGGGCAGGCAAACUGAGCGAUGCUACAACCAGCAUGAGGCGGCAAUCAAUUGGCGAACCAUUGCUGAGUUUAUACAGGAAAACUCCGCAUGUUUCAACAUUCAAUUUAGCGUCCAAAUCUGCAAUGCAAGGGCAAUUAGUGAGAUCCAGUCUUAAAAAUGAACGACAUUUGACGUCCAAGAUAAUCAAGAAGUCUGUGGCUGACCUGGAUUUUGCCAUCGGAGGAACCACCAAAAAGCAUUUGUCCAUCCAUAUCGGAAGCCAAUGAUAACAAUUUCGUGUUAUUCCCACCGGACUUUCUGAUGCAACCAAUCUUUGUUACUCUUUCUUUCAGCCAUACUUCUAUUAUUCCACAUUUUGAAGCCGUAAAUAUGAAGUCAUUGUUGGCUGUUAUCUUCUGUAUGUCCAAACCAGUGGACAGCGUUCCUAGGACGGCCUUGCUCGGGAGAGAGAACACCUUCAUACGCAAAUUUUGUGUCAAAAAUGAUAGGCAAGUCAAGAAUUUCAUGUUUUCUCGUUCAUGCCAGAUACAAAAACGUAGAUGGUUUACCUUUCCUGCUAUUCCAUCAACCGAGGAACCGCCAGCAAUAAGAAGACCGCUGUUGACUUCCAAGGAGAAUAUUGUUUGUUUCCCUAGCAAUUUCCUUGUACCAGUGUAGAAUAUGGUUGAUGUGAGAGUUCCUAAAUCCACCUCCUGUCAAGUGAAUUAUGAAUUUAGUACUAGAAAAACACCAGUUUUAUGCUACCUGUGUUUAUUGCUGGCUAUGCUGGAGCUGGAGCAGUUUUUCUCUCCAAAGAAAAACUGCAUGACUAGGUCAAAAUGACAAUUAUGGAGGUCAUUCAAAGAACUGUACCUGUAUGCUGUAACUGGUACAGCCACAAUAGAUCUUAUCGCCCAACAAGGAGAUACAUUUCACAUUUUUGCUAAAA